rnacentral:lncRNA from 1 species
CCGAGAGUCAUCUGCUGCCUCACACUCUGUCCCCUGUGCACACCCAGAACACGAUGCUCUCCCUGCCUCCCUGCCUAUCUUUAUCUAAGUUUCAUCUCAUCAGCAGGCAGCUGUCACCAGUCUGUACAUGACAAUCUAAAAGCUGCAGAGGCAGGCUCUGAGAUUCGGAACAACUCCUGGGCCAUGGCAGGCAGACGUCCAUGUGCACAGAAGACUCCAACUCCACUCCCAUGCUCUUUGUCUAUGAAGCCUGCUCUUUCCCUGUUGAGAAAGCAUUUUCUAUAUGGGACCUUGGAUUUUCUAGAAGGCAUUGGACCUCAAACAAGAGAACAGUAUGCCCUCUUAAAGUUGUACUAACAUUAUCUCCAAGUUACAAGAUAUUUAACCAAGCUUCCAAACCCGAUGUAUCUUUUCUGGCUUCACGUUCCCGAAGUGGCAACCUCAUACCACACUUAGAGCAACACGGGAGCUGAGCUACGGGAGAUUCCAGCACAGCUCUGAGGUCUCACCAUCGACCCUGUUGCAGACACAUUCCGUUCUCAAAUCUGAAUGGAGGACCAAUAGCCAUGUUCCCAACAUCAACAGGAUUCAGCUGGUCCGUGGGUUCUUCUAGCCUCUCUUGCUGGAAGAGGAGACAAGGAUGUCUGGGUGACCAGGACUGCUCCAUGACAUACUGAUGGCAGUGUCUAAGGCAUAUGGAUUGGUAGG